rnacentral:rRNA from 1 species
UACGAAGGGUGCAAACGUUGCUCGGAAUCAUUGGGCGUAAAGCGCACGUAGGCGGCCUAGCAAGUCGGAUGUGAAAUCCCUCGGCUCAACCGAGGACGUGCAUCCGAAACUGCUGGGCUCGAGUAUGGAAGAGGGUCGCAGAAUUCCCGGUGUAGAGGUGAAAUUCGUAGAUAUCGGGAGGAAUACCAGUGGCGAAGGCGGCGACCUGGGCCAAUACUGACGCUGAGGUGCGAAAGCGUGGGGAGCAAACAGG